ensembl:misc_RNA Metazoa_SRP Metazoan signal recognition particle RNA
GCUGGGCACGGUGGCAGGUGCCUGCAGUCCCAGCUACUCAGGAGGCAGAAGCAGGAGGAUCAUUUGAGUCCAGGAGUUCUGGGCUGUAGUGUGCUGUGCCAAUUGGGUAUCCACACUAAGUUGGGCAUCAAUAUGGUGACCUCCCGGGAGCAGGGAAGCACUGGAUUGCCUAAGGAAGGGUGAACUGGCCCAGGUCAGAGAUGGAAAAGGUCAAAACUCCUGUGCUGAUCAGUCAUGGGAUCGUGCCUGUGAAUGGCCACUGCACUUCCGCCUGGGCAACGCAGCAAGACCCCAUCUCUU